rnacentral:rRNA from 1 species
GAUGAACGCUGGCGGCGUGCCUAAUACAUGCAAGUCGAGCGAACAGACGAGGAGCUUGCUCCUCUGACGUUAGCGGCGGACGGGUGAGUCACACGUGGUUAACCUACCUAUAAGACUGGGAUAACUUCGGGAAACCGGAGCUAAUACCGGAUAAUAUAUUGAACCGCAUUGUUCCAUAGUGAAAGAAGGUUUUGCUGUCACUAAUAGAUGGAUCCGCGCCGAAUUAGCUAGUUGGUAAGGUAAAGGAUUACCAAGGCGAGGAUGGUUAGCCGACCUGAGCGGGUGGUCGGCCACACGGGAAGUGAGACACGGCCCAGACUCCGACGGGAGGCAGCAGUAGGGAAUCUUCCGCAAGGGGCGAAAGCCGGACGGAGCAAAGCCGCGUGAGGGAUGAAGGUCUUCGGAUCGGAGAACGCUGUUAGUAGUAGAGAACAAAUGUGUAAGUAACUAUGCACGUCUUGACGGUACCUAAACAGAAAGCCACGGCUAACUACGUG